ACUGGGCUAUUUACUCUUCUCCUCAACUGGAGCAUGGACCGUGGCAGCCUUUCCGCUCUGUGCACUACCCCAGUGAGACAGGACGCUUUGCAAAGGGAACACACAGUGACAAAUGCCAUCUCAUGAACAUUUGAAGCAGUGCACACACAGAUACACAUGGACAAGCAAUUCUCAAAGUAAAAUGAGUUGCUGUUAUCGUGGAACUUGGGAGUAAGUUUAGCUUUCUGCCAAACUGAUACCUCCCUUUCUCUAGUCAUGAUUUGCAAAGGCAGCUUUCAUGGGUUUCAUAAAAUCAGUUUGUUUCUGUCUUUUCCUUUGAAGAAAGUCAGUGUCACCCAGACCUCACAGUGCUCUCAGCUGGAUGCAUGUGUUGGCUGCCCUGUUUGAUCCCCACUGAGCUAAAUGUGUUUGUUUGCAUUUAACCUCCUUUGAAGGGAGAGAGUCCAGUAAUGUAUCAUCUCUCUGUGCCAAGCCAGGGGGAUCCUUCCAUGGGUUUAUCCCACAGCCCCCAGAGGUGGUAUUCAGGGCACUUUAUAAUAACAUAGAGACACCAGCUAUUCCUCUAUGUAAUAACUCCGGAAAGAAAGAAAGAAAAAGAGGUUGCACAGAGUGUGGAUAAAUGUCAGGGCACAUCUUACCUUUUAAUGAAACUCUAAAUAUCAAAAGUAAAUCUGCUAAUGUGGGUGUCGCUAGUCAAUGGAGGGUAAUCAAAAGGCUUACUCAACUCGCUUUGAAGUUUUGAAUGAAGAAGGGUUUCUUUCGGUGCUUCAGAUUCUGGUCAAUAGGCAUGUUAAGUCAAGUGCAGUCAAUGAAGUGCAGAGAAGCAGAAUGGCUGGGGAAGCCCAGGGAGAGGGAAGAUGAGCAAUGAGCUCGUAUUCUGGCAGGGAGGUGACUGCAAGCCUGCACUCACUUCAGCAUAACGAGACAAGUGAAAUAAGGCAGUACUGGGUUCUGUAGGACCCACUUAUCUUUUAUCUGUAGAUUUUAAUUUCUAUUUGUAAAAGAAUAGAUGGAUGUUAUGCAACGUUUUUCUAUACUCCAGCUGUGGAAAACAAACCACAUCUGGCACAUAAAAUAACAAUGAAAUUAUCUGAAAGCUGUACUGUUCUUAAAAGCAGCCACAAGUACGUGUUCAAAUAACUUUCUGGAAAGAAUAGAUCCAAUUUGUCAGAUGAUAAUACAUAAGCUUAGAAGGAAGGAAAAAUUAAGCCAAGAGAAAUAUUGCACUUCAGAGAGUUCAAAUAAAGAGGUUCCUUUCCACCAAACUUCUGUGGGCUUGCAAGGCAUAAAUUACACAAACAGCAUUUAAAAACAAGAAUGCAAAAAUCAAAGAGCAAAAUUAAAGCUCUGUUCGUGUUCCAGCCGUGCAAAAGUGUGUAGCAGAUGUCGGAGGCCUAUGGUUAAGCAAUCCCCUGGUCUGGAUGCACAAUUUCAAGCGUGUCCUGCUGGCACACAUCUGAAGCUGCUAUUUCAUAGUGUUUCUGAACUAGGAGCCACCAGUGGCCCAAGAGCUGUCACACUCCAUCUCGGCGAAGACCCACCUCCUUUCCUGGUUCCUCUCUCGCGCUGGUGCUGAGGUUUCCAGUGAAGCACAAGAAUAGCUGUGAGUCUGAGCUGAAUCCUGCGAUGGGAAAUGUUGAUUGUCUGCACUUUCUCCCUCCUAUUACUGAAAAGAUUAAGAAAAAGUAUGUUCACAUCCACGUUUCCAAUAUGUUUAUUAAUAUGAAAAGUUUUUGGAGUCCAACACUGCAAAAGCAAAGCAUGGGAAGGCAGGCGUAAAAUGUACUGGUUCAUGUCAGUGGCAGCUGCAGUUUCAUUUCUGUAGCAGAGUGAUAAAUGACAGGAAUUCACAAUUUUCUCCCAACUCCCUUGGAAGAUGUAUUCUAUAGAAUGAAAAUAGAAGCACUGAAUUAUUAAGAAUCAUCCCCUUUACAUAUGAAAAUGGUACGGUGUCAUGUUAAAUACACCAUAUUAAGAGGUCAAUUAGAGACCUAUUUUGAGUUAAUGGAAUUAGUUCUUUUUUUAUUUUACAUUUUAAAUGCAAUCUUUCAAAGUGUACUGGAGAUCGAAGGAAUAGAAAAUAGAGUAAUCCAGUUAAAGGCAGUUAAUGCUUGCAGAAUGCCUGAGAGCAGUGCUGAUGGGUGAGAGGGUGUGAUGGGGCAAGGGCUGAGCAGACAGCACCCUUUUCUUCCCAUCUGCAUUGCCUUCCCUGUGUGUAAGUGAGAAAAGCUACUUUUUUUAGUACAUUCCCUGUAUCUGAAUAGACCAUAAAACAAGAGAAAAUAUGCUUGGGCCCUGGCUCCCAACCACAGCCCUCAUUUCACUAAAUUUUACAGUACUUUCCUUAAAUCCUAUUUGAUUCAGUGGAAACUGAGUAUAUGCAAAAGUCCUGAGUGCAAUAUUGCAACUGGUCAAGGUACAAUUGUUGCAUUAGUCACUGGACAGUUGUUCAGCCACAGAUUUAAGUUGGAAUCAGCUCCAAAGGGAAAUAGCUAGAGAGAGCUUCUCUACUCUUCAAAGGAUUUGCUGCUCCCAUGCUGCCCCUGGAACAUUAAUGCAGAUGGAAAUUGUCCUGUCCCCCCCAUGUUACAAGAGAGGAGAAGGCUGCAAAAGGGGAAGCCUCUGGACCAAAGGACACAUCAAUAAAGGCGACACUAGGAGUAUUUUGGCAUCCAAGGACAACAGUCCUGCCCACACACCCCCCAGGACCCCUGCUAGUCUUCUCCCUCCACCCUGCCCAAGCACACAUCCAUUUUGGCGUUUGCACUGGGGACCUGGAUUCAGCUGGAAAAUCAACCCGAGAAAAAAACCCAAUAGGCUGGUUUUCUUCCAGCUGACUUAUUCUUGCCCAUGUGGCAUAAAUCGCUACCAAAAUAGAUAUAUAUCUAUAGUCUCCUUUUGCCUGGUCUCUAGAUAAGCUGCACACAGCACUUCUGUAUUAGGAACACUGUUUACAGUAUAGACAUGUGGGAUGGCAACUUUUGUCGCCAGAGUUACUGCUUAGCUAAAGAGAUGAUACGUACAGUGCAUGAAAGGGGACACAUUUAUGCUGUACAGAAGAGCCUGGCGAUAGUUUAGCUCACACACGCACACUGCCGCUGCAGCAUCGGCACUGAAGAGACUAGACCCUUCUCCAAACAGUACCACUGUACCAGUGCAGUCCCCAUGGCUCCAUUUCUGUAGCAGAGCAGGCAUGAAUUCCUCUUGAUUCAUCUUGUCUGGUCACAGUUCAGGGUUCCAAAAUGUUUGGGCCAAGGGUUUCUUUUAUUUUGGUGAUAUGCUCCCUGCAGAGCCGAUUAUUGGUACCUAACAAAGAAAACCACCAGAUCCUAAGCAACCCCAAUGCUUGUAUAACGGUAAUUUGAAAACUGUAUGGGGCAUAAGAUUAAGAAUGUUGCAUUUCCAGUUGGUUGAACCAUGUAACUGGGUAGAGCUCUUCUCUCUAUAGCUGCUGGGACUAAAGGGUUGAUGUCAAUGUUAAUGUUAGGAGGAGACUUGUCAUCCAGGGCUUUGCCACAGAGCCCGCAUCGCUACCUCUUGCUACUGUGGAGGCCUGAUCCUGCACUGGAGAGAUGCCGGCCACCAACCCAGCCCUCCCGGCUUGGGAAUUCGAGCCACUCACUUUCCUGUAAGCUGGGCCACAAGACCGCUCAUUUCCUGGCACUUUCUGACUCUUGAUCUUAUUCCACUGAUUUUUCCUUUACAAACAACAGGGGGAAAUCUGGGAAAGCUGUGGAAAACAGAAAGGAGAAAUAGGUCACGCUAGAAAUUCUGAAACCUCAGCAAAGCUCUUGUUUAAAGUGAUUAAUUCAGUGACCUCUGACCACAAGGCAGACCUUCAAUUUGCCAGGAGAGGAUAAAAGAGUCAAGAUCUGAAUGAAUAAAGAAGGGAUGAAGGGUGAGUUAAUCCAGUAACUGUGAAGGAACAUUGGAAAUAAAAAUACUCAGCAUAUA